rnacentral:lncRNA from 10 species
GACCCUGCCCUGCGCCUGCGCCUGCGAGCUAGUGGGAGGGCGGUUCUCAGUCCCGCGGGGUGUGGAAGCCGGCGCGGGUGAGAGCCAGGCUCACGUGACCGAGCGGGGCGGGAGGCUGGGCUCCAGGCCACGUGCUGGGAGACCAGCUGGGGAAGACAGGGUUGAGCCCAGCGUUGGGAGCGGAGGCGUCUGGAAAACGCGCCAGGGAAAUGAGCCAGGGGCAAGAAUCGAGGCGCUUCUCGGCCGUCGAAGGCAGCUUAGGACUGCUGAGAGACUGGUGGAUUUAAUCGUCUGGGAAGGAGUUUCUAGCCGCAGCCAAUCUUACAGACGCGCAGAAUAUUAAUCUAUUUUGUGCCGACUUAAGGCACGCAUAUUUUAGGAUUUGUGGAUUCCCAAGACCUAUCCCAACGAACUCAAGAGAAGGGAGACGGAGUCUGGCUAUGUCGCCCAGGCUGGAGUGCAGUGGCGCGAUCUCGGCUCACUGCAGCCUCCGCCUCCCGGGUUCAAGCGUUUCUCCUGCUUCAUCCUCCUGAGUAGCUGGGACUACAGGCGCGUGCCACCAAGCCUGGCUAAUUUUUGUAUUUUUAGUAGAGACAGGGUUUCACCAUUUUGGCCAGGAUGGUUUUGAUCUCUUGACCUCGUUAUCUGCCUGCCUAGACCUUCCAAAGUGCUGGAAUUACAGGCGUGAGCCACCGCGCCCGGCCACAACCAGUAUUUCUUGCAAAGCAUAAUACAACUUUAUGUAGUAUUAUGUUUUGAGUGGAAUAAAAAUUCACAAUUGUCAAAGAACCUUUUUGUCGCAUUUCAUUUUACAAUAUUAUUAAAGAAAUGAGGCAAGGAAGAGAUGUUUUAUUGGCACUUUCUAAUUGAUUAUGUCUUCCACUCUUUCUAAUGAAAGGGGUUAUUUUAACACAGCAACAUGAUGAAAGAAAGCCCUAGAGAUGAGUAGAAAUGAAUAGUGUUGAGCUUUUCCAUCCUUCCUGCUUUGCAGCCUGGGGAGUAAAUUUCAGUCCAAGUUACUUCAUUUUGCAGCAAGACAAUUUAAUGAAGUCCACUAGUAGUUUGCUGCUUCAUGAGGUUCUACUGUCAGCUUUGACUUUUGGUACAAUUAAGGAGCCACAAAGUCCCUGGAGUAGAUUAUGAAACUUCUUACCCUUACUCUUAUAAUGUCAGGCUUGAGGAUUUAAACCAGUUUCCCUGUUUCCUUGCACGGUGUUAAUAUACUUGGUUUGCCUCCAAUCAAGUUUUUUUUUUUUCCUUUUUAAAAUCCUCCUUCCCUUAGUGGGAAUAGAUGUUUAAAAUUCAGUGUUCUUGCUUGAUGACUUGUGAUGUAUAUAAAAAAACUCGAUGUUCAUUAAAAAGCUAGCAAACUUUGGCUCAAAGAAAAUGUUGCAUUUAUAGCUAGUCAGUGAAUCUCCUCUGGCCUCAAUUUCCCCAGUUCCACAACACAUUUCUCUCCUUGGGGUGCUGCAAGCGGUUAAUUAAUUAAGAUUUGUAAAAGGCUUUGAGGAGUAGGGGACAAAGUAUUAUUAGGGUCUC